rnacentral:rRNA from 1 species
UUCUUUCCAUCUUAGUGGCGGACGGGUGAGUAACGUGUGGGCAACCUGCCCUGUACUGGGGAAUAAUCAUUGGAAACGAUGACUAAUACCGCAUGUGGUCCUCGGAAGGCAUCUUCUGAGGAAGAAAGGAUUUAUUCGGUACAGGAUGGGCCCGCAUCUGAUUAGCUAGUUGGUGAGAUAACAGCCCGCCAAGGCGACGAUCAGUAGCCGACCUGAGAGGGUGAUCGGCCACAUUGGGACUGAGACACGGCCCAAACUCCUACGGGAGGCAGCAGUGGGGAAUAUUGCACAAUGGGCGAAAGCCUGAUGCAGCAACGCCGCGUGAAGGAUGAAGGGUUUCGGCUCGUAAACUUCUAUCAAUAGGGAAGAAACAAAUGACGGUACCUAAAUAAGAAGCCCCGGCUAACUACGUGCCAGCAGCCGCGGUAAUACGUAGGGGGCAAGCGUUAUCCGGAAUUACUGGGUGUAAAGGGAGCGUAGGCGGCAUGGUAAGCCAGAUGUGAAGCCUUGGGCUUAACCCGAGGAUUGCAUUUGGAACUAUCAAGCUAGAGUACAGGAGAGGAAAGCGGAAUUCCUAGUGUAGCGGUGAAAUGCGUAGAUAUUAGGAAGAACACCAGUGGCGAAGGCGGCUUUCUG